rnacentral:lncRNA from 1 species
UGAAAUUCACAAAAAAAAAUGUUUUUCAUAAAAUAUAAUUGCCUAUGAUGGAUGCAGUUUAAAUAAUAGGUAAUAAUAGAAAGACACAUAAUGCCUAUUGUUCUCUGAUAUUUGACAUAAGUACGAUUUUUUUAAGAUUGUUAUGAAGAAACAGAAUCAAUAUUCGAAUGGCGAGAAAAUAUGAAGGGAAUAACAUUUUAGUAGAAGAAAAACAGUAUUUUACUAAAUGGCAGCUUGAAGGGGAAACGAAAUCUAAUGAGGAGAUGGAAUUAUCAUUUAUUACUACUUGAGGUGAUUACAUCUUUUAAAUUUUAUUUAUAUAACAAAAUAUUGUUACUGAAAAAUAUACAAAAUAAUUCUGGUGCUGAGAUACUUGUCAUGGGGAAAAUGACAAGUGUAAAAACAAAAAAAAUAAAUCAAAUAUUUUACGUUUGUGAUAAGUGUGUAUUUUCAUGACAAAAAUGUCAAAUCAUUGAAAAUUAUAAUGGGGUUGUCAAGGCAACAUUUUAAUCAUGUGUAUUUUAUUUCUUAACUACUUAAAAUAAUAUUUUAAAUGGUAAAAAACAAACAA